GGGGGGGGGGGGGGGGGGGGGGGGGGGGGGGGGGGCGGGGGGCAGGGGAGGGGGGGGGUGCGCGGACGGGUGGGGGGUGGCGGGGGGGGGGGGGGGAGAUGGGAAUCUAGUUUUUGGUGGGGGCUAACGGAGGGAGACUUACGCUAAUACAGCGUACGACCUACGGGUGAAAGGAGGGGAUCUUAGGCCCUUGCGCGAUUGAAUGAUCCGAUGUCGGAUUAGCGAGUUGGCGGGGUAAAGGCCCAACAAGGCGACGAUCCGUAGCUGGUCUGAGAGGAUGAGCAGCCACACGGGAACUGAGACACGGUCCAGACUCCUACGGGAGGCAGCAGUGGGGAAUAGUGGACAAUGGUCGCAAGCCUGAUCCAGCCAUACCGCGUGGGUGAAGAAGGCCUUCGGGUUGUAAAGCCCUUUUGUUGGGAAAGAAAAGCAGCAGGUUAAUACCCCGCUGUUCUGACGGUACCCAAAGAAUAAGCACCGGCUAACUUCGUG
rnacentral:rRNA from 1 species